rnacentral:lncRNA from 10 species
GUCAACACAGACCUUGAAAUCCCCGCACCGCUCCCUCCACCCCGUGUAAAUUCAGGCGUCUCCGUGAGAGUCCGGCGCUCGCUUCCCUGUGUGUUAAAAUCGCUCGGCGACGGGUCCUGUCCCCGCUCGUUCUGCCUUGGGCCAGAGCCUCGGGCAAGUUCUUCAAGAGGUAUCCAGAAGAAGUCAUUGUUAUCCCAGAUGACAGCUCCAUACAUGUUAUUGCUCCUGAGGACCUUCCAGUGGGACAAGAUGUGGCACUGGAAGACAGUGACAUUGAUGGUCCCCACCCUGUGUAGGCCUAGGCUAAUACACAGGAGUGUUGCCAUGUUGUCCAAACUGGUCUCGAAAUUCUGGAGUCAAGCAGUCUGCCUGCCUCGUUCUCCAAACGUGCUGGGAUUACAGGCAUGAGCCACUACGCCUGGCCAAGUAUUCGGUAUUUAUAAAAUCUACAGUAGUACACAGUUAUGUCGUAGGCCAUCACAUUCGGUCACCACACACUCACUGACUCAUCCAGAGCAAUUUCUAGUCCUGCAAGCGCCAUUCAUGGUGAGUGCCCUAGACAGCUGUACCAUUUUUUAAACAUGUAUAUCAUAUUAUUAUUGUACCUUUUCUAUGUCGAGACAUGUUUUUAUUUACAAGUACAUACCAUUGUGUCACAGUUGCCUGUAGUAUUCAGUACAUAACAUGAUGUACAGGUUUUUAGCAAUAGGCUAUACCAUAUACCCUAGGUGUGUAGUAGACUAUACCAUCUUGGUUUAUGUAAGUGCAGUCUGUAAUGAAAUGGUCUGAAAACACAUUUCUCAGAACCGGUCCC